rnacentral:rRNA from 1 species
UGGGGAAUAUUGCACAAUGGGCGAAAGCCUGAUGCAGCAAUGCCGCGUGUGUGAAGAAGGCCUUUUGGUUGUAAAGCACCUUAAGCGAGGAGGAGGCUACCGAGAUUAAUACUCUUGGAUAGUGGACGUUACUCGCAGAAUAAGCACCGGCUAACUCUGUGCCAGCAGCCGCGGUAAUACAGAGGGUGCGAGCGUUAAUCGGAUUUACUGGGCGUAAAGCGUGCGUAGGCGGCUUUUUAAGUCGGAUGUGAAAUCCCUGAGCUUAACUUAGGAAUUGCAUUCGAUACUGGGAAGCUAGAGUAUGGGAGAGGAUGGUAGAAUUCCAGGUGUAGCGGUGAAAUGCGUAGAGAUCUGGAGGAAUACCGAUGGCGAAGGCAGCCAUCUGGCCUAAUACUGACGCUGAGGUACGAAAGCAUGGGGAGCAAACAGG